UACGUAGGGAGCAAGCGUUGUCCGGAAUCAUUGGGCGUAAAGCGCGCGUAGGUGGUCCCGUAAGUCCGCUGUGAAAGUCAAAGGCUCAACCUUUGAAUGUCAGUGGAUACUGCCGGGCUAGAGUCCGGAAGAGGCGAGUGGAACUCCUGGUGUAGCGGUGGAAUGCGCAGAUAUCAGGAAGAACACCAACGGCGAAGGCAGCUCGCUGGGACGGUACUGACGCUGAGACGCGAAAGCGUGGGGAGCGAACAGG
rnacentral:rRNA from 1 species